AUUGAACGCUGGCGGCAGGCCUAACACAUGCAAGUCGAGCGAGCGGCGGCCGGGUGCGUAAUGUUUGGGGACUGCCCGAUAGCGGGGGAUCAAUACUGGAAACGGUAGCUAAUAACGCAUACUAUCGGAUAACCCAUAUGGGAUUAGCUAGUAGGUGAGGUAAUGGCUCACCUAGGCGACGAUCCCUAGCUGGUCUGAGAGGAUGAUCAGCCACACUGGGACUGAGACACGGCCCAGACUCCUACGGAGGCAGCAGUGGGGAAUAUUGCACAAUGGGCGCAAGCCUGAUGGAGCCAUGCCGCGUGAAUGAAGAAGGCCCUAGGAUUGUAAAGGACUUUCAGUCGGGAAGCGUUACCGACAGAAGAAGCACCGGCUAACUCCGUGCCAGCAGCCGCGGUAAUAC
rnacentral:rRNA from 1 species